UAUUGUAGCGACUUUUUUUUUUAAGUUUUAUUCAGGUUUAGGUCGGUUCCUUUUAUAUUUGGGUCGGUUUGGAAUCAUAAUUCAAAUAAAUAUAAAAUACAUGUAAUAUUUGGGUACGUAGCAGGUCUAGGUCAGUUCAGAUAUUUAAGAUCUUAAAAAGAUUACAAGUACCCGAAAACUUAAAAAUGAUCCGAAACUUGAAAAAUAU
rnacentral:lncRNA from 1 species